UUGAAGUAAAAAGCGUAACAAGGUUUCCGUAGGUGAACCUGCGGAAGGAUCAUUA
rnacentral:rRNA from 1 species